GAGUUUGAUCCUGGCUCAGAACGAACGCUGGCGGCAGGCCUAACACAUGCAAGUCGAACGAGAAUCAAUCCUUCGGGGUUGAGGACACUGGCGCACGGGUGCGUAACACGUGGGUAACCAACCCUCUAGUCUGGGACAACCAAGGGAAACUUUGGCUAAUACCGGAUGUCGUCAUUUGGUCUUCGGACUGAAUGGGAAAAGGAGCAAUCCGCUAGAUGACGGGCCCGCGUUCCAUCAGCUUGUUGGUGAGGUAAUGGCUCACCAAGGCGAAGACGGAUAGCUGGUCUGAGAGGAUGAUCAGCCACACUGGAACUGAUACACGGUCCAGACUCCUACGGGAGGCAGCAGUGGGGAAUAUUGCGCAAUGGGGGAAACCCUGACGCAGCCACGCCGCGUGGUGCGAUGAAGGCUUUCGGGUCGUAAAGCACUGUGGGGAGAGAAGAAUACUGACGGUAUCUCCUUAGCAAGCACCGGCUGACUCCGUGCCAGCAGCCGCGGUAAUACGGAGGGUGCGAACGUUGCUCGGAAUCAUUGGGCGUAAAGCGCACGUAGGCGGUUCGAUAAGUUGGAUGUGAAAGCCCAGGGCUUAACCCUGGAAGUGCAUUCAAAACUGUCGGACUUGAGUUCCGGAGGGGCCCAGAGAAUUCAUGGUGUAGAGGUGAAAUUCGUAGAUAUCAUGAGGAAUACCAGUGGCGAAGGCGCUGGGCUGGACGGAUACUGACGCUGAGGUGCGAAAGCGUGGGGAGCAAACAGGAUUAGAUACCCUGGUAGUCCACGCCGUAAACGAUGAGAACUAGCCGUUGGGCUCAAUUGAGAGCUUAGUGGUGCAGCUAACGUAUUAAGUUCUCCGCCUGGGG
rnacentral:rRNA from 1 species